rnacentral:rRNA from 1 species
AUUGAACGCUGGCGGCAGGCCUAACACAUGCAAGUCGAACGGUAACAGGAAGCAGCUUGCUGCUUCGCUGACGAGUGGCGGACGGGUGAGUAAUGUCUGGGAAGCUGCCUGAUGGAGGGGGAUAACUACUGGAAACGGUAGCUAAUACCGCAUAAUGUCGCAAGACCAAAGAGGGGGACCUUCGGGCCUCUUGCCAUCGGAUGUGCCCAGAUGGGAUUAGCUUGUUGGUGGGGUAACGGCUCACCAAGGCGACGAUCCCUAGCUGGUCUGAGAGGAUGACCAGCCACACUGGAACUGAGACACGGUCCAGACUCCUACGGGAGGCAGCAGUGGGGAAUAUUGCACAAUGGGCGCAAGCCUGAUGCAGCCAUGCCGCGUGUAUGAAGAAGGCCUUCGGGUUGUAAAGUACUUCCAGCGGGGAGGAAGGGAGUAAAGUUAAUACCUUUGCUCAUUGACGUUACCCGCAGAAGAAGCACCGGCUAACUCCGUG